UUUUCCCACGCUGCAAAGCAAUGGAGCGGCGCUACUGGUGAUCACCGACGAGCAUGGCAGCAGCGACUUUGCUCGAGGCGAUUCGAAUCGCGGACAAGGUUGGCACAAGAUCCACGAACACAAACUCGAGCAAGGUCACCACUGCUGCUCCGGAGAUUUGCUAGACAGUGCCUUCCACUGGGAUCCAGGAAAACCUUACAAACGUAUUGAUCGGCUCCGCGGCUCAACGCCAACUCUAUCGGAUCACGGGAGAAAAGCUCACAGUUUUCAGAAGAAACAAAGAAAGCGAGCGUGAAUUUUUCUUUAUUCUUUUGGAGACUCACCUGAGUUAUCCCCGCCUCCAAAUUCGUGAUGAACAAUCCAGCUGCUGCUAGUACUGACGAGCAGGACAUUGUUUCCAGCGGCUACUGAGGUGACAAGCCCGUGACCUUUGGCGGCGUUUUGCUCCAGCACAUCCAAGCUGAAGAUCUUGCUCUCUGGCCUCGACAGUGAAAUCGCCUGGAAAUCCUGCGAGGAAUUGGAUCAGCGAUCGACGAUUCAGCUCAAUCUCACCUCGUUGAGCCCCGAUUGAGCGGGCGAAGACGACGUCCAUUCAUCCAGCAUUGCUGCCUAAACCCUAAUCUCGCCCAGGUGUAAGAAUUAUGAACCUAAUGUAAAAAGGUAAAGUAGAUUUCGUUUGACCAUAUAUAUGGUAGUACUAAAUUUGCUGUCACUUAUUUUCUAGGAUAAGUUUGAAAAUUAAUUAACUAUAAAAUGGUGCUAGAUUAUAAAUUUAGAUGUGAUCAUAUGUUUAAAAUAAUUUCUAUUAACAAAUCUAAACACUUUCCUUAAAUAGCUAAUAAGCCUAAAAUUGACCAAAUGUAUCUUGGCAAAUAUAAUAAAUUAUCACAUAAUGAAUACUGAAAGGCUAAGCUUAAUAUCAAAGGGGUUCCUAAUACUAGUAAAUGUAAUUUAAUUAUAUAAAUUUCAUAUUAAAUAUGCUUUAUUAAAUGAUAAUUUAAGAUAUCAUUCUUUUGUGCCCUUCUAAAUUAUUGUAUACUGACUAGUCUCUUAACUAGUUUGGGUGGAAACUCUAGCAAUAUUAACUUCCUACUAUCAUGGUAAUAAAAGAAAAAUAUCUAGAAAGAUUGAUAGAUAGAUUUUGAUACCUACAAUAACAUUUGCAAUAAUGAUACACCUCAAAUAACUUUUUACAUAGAUUAAGUUCAUGUUAAUCAUGUUAACUCCUUCCACUUUGUGCAAACAUUUGUCCUUUAAGAAAAUCUUUUUAUUUCCUAGAAUUAAUCUCCUCCUCUUACCUUAUAUGAAAACACAUUUUGGGCUUUCACCCAGUCUUAGGAGUUUCUCUCUAGGACAAUCACAAAAAUCUAUUAAAUAUAAAAUGAUGUUAGAAUGUGAAUUUGGAUAUGGGAACAACACUAUUAUGUUUAAGUUAAUUUUUAAAUCUGUAAAUAUGCCCACUUAACAAAUCUAAUCUCUGUUCAUAAAUAUCCAAUAGGACCAAAUGAGACCAACACAUAAAGAAUGAUAUCAAGAGUAUCUUGAUAAACACAGUAAACUAUCACUUAGCAAAUAUGGAGGGACCAAGCUUGACAUUAUAAAAGUUCCCAAUAUUAGCAAGUGUAAGCCAUCACACUCUAGGAGGCAACAAAAGCUCACUAACAAGACUUAAGUUUGCCUUGGAAUUUUUUAUACAAAGCCAAUAGCAAUUUAGCCAACUUACCUCAUGUCAAGGAGAACACCAUAUAAAGUUUGGUAUGGCAUUAAACUGGAUGUGAGUCUUUGCAAGUGGUGUUCAGGAACCACAAGGUUCAAAGAUGAUCAUUAGUUGUCAUCUUUAAUGAGUCUAGGACAUAUACAACACAAGAUCUUUAACCAUUGAAACAGUUUUCCUUGACUGAAGUCAUAAGGGACAAUUAGGGCACAUAUAAUAGUGUAGCUGGAGGUGAGGAUGGUGACAAUGAAGGGAAUUUAGUAGGAUAACAAGGAUGAUGCAUCAAGUGGGGAUGGUGUUGGAGACAGCAACAAUAGUGGAUCCAGUUGGAGUGCCAAUAUGGCAAAUCUAUUGGUUGGGACCUUGAGCUACUAACAAGGAGGAAAGUCAUAAGAAUGAAGUUCCCCUUGGAAAGCAUCAAGGAUAUGAUCUAGAGGCAGAAAAGGUAGUGCUAAAUUGUUAGGCGCCAACUUUGACCACGUGGUCAACGUUGGUCAAAGGGAGGCUUAAGGAUAUAUUAAAGCAUGUUAGGGUGAGGAACCUCAAGAGGUGGCGUAACAUAGUCUAGGGUGAUUAGAUUUUUGUCUUUUUGUGCUGGAUCAUAACAUUGGUAUCAGAGAAGUUGGUUGCAAUGGUCGACCAAGCUGAAUGCUAGAAUCCUAUUGUCGAUGGUGGUGCCGACGAAGCUGCAGAGAUUUGGACCAUUCAAGAUGUGGUUCACGAGCUGUGAGCCCUUAAUUGAAAUCAGCAAGAGAUGCAAGAUGAGAUGCAUGGCAUGAUGGAUACCAUGCGUGGGCGUGUUGAGGCACUCGAGGUUGGACGGGGUAGCACUCCAAGUAAGCCUUCUUUGGUAGAUCGACUCAAGAUUCCAACCUUUUCUGGUGAUGGUGGUGUGGACGAGUGUCUGGCUUGGCUAGCCAAUGUGAAUAAGUUCUUGGCUGCUAGGGGAACUCCAGAUGUAGAGGCUUUAGUGGCUAUUCCAAUGGUUUUGCGUGAUGUGGGUCUUCGAUGGUGGAAUUGGCUUGAGGAGUCUCGUGUUGCAGAUAAGAAACCACCAGUGUCUACUAUGGAUGAGUUUGAGGUUGCUUUCCAUUUACGUUUUGCCUCUCAUUACAACAUGGAGAAUGCUCGUACAGAACUUUAACAUUUCCAGCAAGGGAAAAUGACACUUGGGGACUAUAUUGAGAAGCUUACUUGCUUGAUUAGUCAUAUUCCAACGAAGGAUCCAGAUCAAAACAAGUCUUACUUCAUUGAUGGCCUAUAUAGUGAGAACAUGUGGCAACACUUGCAUCAUUUUCAGCCUACAAAGAGUUUGGAGGAGCUCUUUGAUGGGGCUCGUCGACUUGACAAUUACAAGCACAAGUCUUGCAAGCGUUCGUGGAGUCCUUCUAUCGAGAAUCAUCGUGAUGAUCGCCAUGGACACGAGGAUAGGAACAAGUAUCACAAGUUGAAGUCAGUGGUGACUACUUCGGAUGCAAAGGGGUCCAAGAAGCAGAAGUUCUUUGUGAAGAAUUAUAGACAGGGUUGUCAUCAUUGCGGCGAACUUGGACACUACAAGGCUGAUUGUCCACAGUUGAAGAACAAGCAAUAGGACAAGAAGAAUGCCCAAUCUUCUUCUCACCAUAAGUUAGAUACUAAAAAGUUACAAACUUUGCAGCGUGAGGAUGACGAGAAUGACCAUUCCGGUUAGAGGAAGAGACUUUCGAUUGUUGCUCAUCAGCUCAACUGUGUGUGGAACAAGAUGGAGCUCGAGGAUAUGCGUGAAUCAGCUUUAAUGCUGGAGGGCGUGUUCCAUGGCGAUCCAGUGUGAAUUUUACUGGAUAGUGGGAGCGAUGACAACUUUGUUUCGGCAAAGUUUGUUGCGGAGCAUGGCCUGGUCACAUGUGGAGUUCUUCCAUACGCAGUGGAAGGUGCAGCUACCUCUGCUCAACAUUUUGAUGUUUGUGUCGAGGGGUUGGAAGUGUUGGUUGGCAAAAUCACACUUGUGGAGACUUUUUAUUUCGCGGAUAUCCAUCGUGUGGAUCUCAUUCUUGGGAUGCCAUGGUUGGUGAAGGUGGAUCCAGAGAUAAAGUGGAGCAUUAAGUGUAUCUUGCUGAAGUAUGGUGGCGUUAAAGAUGUGUGGUUUGGCGAGGGCGUUCAACCAUCAGUUGUUAUACUCUCUACUACAUCUUUGAAGCAGGUUUGUCAUAAUGAAAAGCACUUUCGAGUUACUUAUUGUUUGUUCGUGACUUGGGGGCCUAAGGCACAUGUGGGGAAGAAGCAGCAAUAUGGGACGUACUUGAUGAGUUUUUUGAUGUUUUUCCAUUUGAACUUCCCCAUGGGUUGCCUCCGUUACAAGGUGUGGAGCAUGGGAUUACAUUGGAGCCGGGGACGUGGCCAAUUUACCGGCGUUCAUUUCGGUUAAGUUAUGCAGAGGAGCAAGAAGUUCAACAACAACUCAAGGAAUUACUUGGGUUUGGAUUUAUUCAGCCAAGUAAGUCCCCGUUUGGUGCUCCGGUCUUGUUUGUGAAGAAGAAGGACAAUUCAAUGCUAAUGUGUAUUAACUACCACGCUUUGAACAAGAAGACAAUAAAGGAUAAGAUGCCAAUGCCACGUGUGGAUGAUAUCCUAGACAAGCUUGGUGAAGCACGAGUGUUUACCAAGAUUAAUCUGAGGAGUGGAUAUUAUCAGAUUGCAAUGGAUGAUGCAUCUAUCUCCAAGACGGCAUUCAACACAAACUUCGGACAUUUUGAGUUUACAGUUAUGCUGUUUGGUUUAAUGAAUGCACUGGCCACAUUUACUCGAUUGAUGACGGAGGUAUUUGGGCGUUAUCUUCAUGAGUUUGUGGAGAUUUUCUUGGACAAUACUCUUGUUUUAGCAAGAAUAUGGAGGAGCAUAAGGUGCAUUUGAGCAAGGUUCUUUUGUUACUCCGAGACAGCAAACUUUAUACGAAGAAGAGCAAAUAUGAAUUUGCAAAGUUGAAGGUGGAAUAUCUAGGCCAUAUUGUGACAUCUAAGGGUGUCAAGACGGAUCCAAGGAAGGUGGCUGUGGUGGAAAACUGGCCUACACCGACUACAGUGGCCGAGUUAUGCAGUUUUCUUGGUAUGGCUAGUUACUACCGACGUUUCCAGCAUAAGUUUGCCAAGGUGGCUAUUCCUUUAACGCGGUUGUUACGCAAGAAUGUGCCAUUCGAGUGGAAGCAGCCACAAGACGAGAGUUUUGUGUCGCUGAAACGAUUGUUGAGCGAGACUCCAGUGCUUUGGAUUGCUGAUCCAUCGAAACCUUACGAGGUGACAUGCGAUGUGAGUGGUUAUGCACUGGGAGGAGUUCUCAUGCAAGAAGGACAGCCUAUUGCAUAUGAGAGUCGAACUUUGAAUUUCGCGGAGCAAUGUUAUUCCACAUAUAAGCAAGAGUUACUCUCUAUUGUUCAUGCUUUGCGGACGUGGCGGCACUAUCUUUAUGGUGCAGUGUUCGUGGUAUUGACAAAUCACAAACCAGUUGUGUAUCUUUUCACACAGAAGGAGUUGAACACUAGGCAAGCUCGUUGGAUGGUCAAACUCAUAGAGUUUGGGAAGUUUCCUAUUGAGCAUCGUCCGGGAAAAUCAAAUGUGGUGGCUGAUGCUUUAUCUCUUGUUCGUCAUGUGACAACGUUACAAACAUGAUUUUGUCAUCAUUUGAGUAAAGUGGUCAGCGAGUUUGGGCAGUUGGUUGAGCAUGCUCAGGCUCAGGAUGCUAAGAUGGCCUCUUUGUGAGACCAGAUGGAAGCCCUUUUCUCCUUGGUGGAUGGGAUUCUCUACUACAAUAGCUGUGUAUAUUUGCCACGGGUGGAUGCAUUACUUACUCAAGUUUUAUUUCACUAUCAUGAUCGUCUAGAGGCCGGUCAUUUUGGGGGGAAGAAGACAUAUGAGUUGAUUAAGCGCAACUUUUAUUGGAGGAAUAUGAAGGCUGAUAUCCUCAAGUAUUGUAAAUCAUGCGAGCUUUGUCAGCGGGUUAAGGUGCCAUAGGAGAAGCCAGGGGACUUUUGCAACUUUUACCUAUUCCUCAGAGCCAUUGGUGUAGUUAUCUCUAUGGGUUGUUUGCCACGAACACAAAGGCAAAAGGAGCAAGUAUGGGUCAUAGUGGAUCGGUUGACGAAGUAUGUGUAGUUGUUGGCUCUUAGGAAGACUCACUGGCUCAAACUUGGCUGCGGUUUACUUGGAGAAGGUUUUUCUUGAUUUUGGUUUGCCAGAGGACAUCAUUAGUGAUUGAGAUUCAAAGUUCACUAGUGGAUUUUGGAAAAGCUUUGCAAAGGCUAUGCGAGUGACUUUGAAACUCUCGAGUGGAGAUCAUCCUCAGACGGAUGGGCAAACCAAGUGUAUGAAUCAGGUGGUGGAUAUGCUACGUUGUAGCAUUGGUCAAAGGCAAGGACAGUGGGAUCCAUAUCUUCCGUUGGUGCAAUUUGCUUACAACAAUAGCCAACACAAUGGAACCAAGCUAAAUCCUUACUUUGCCAUGUUUGGAAGGCAUCCUUGAACAACAGUGGAGUUGGGAUUGCAUUUGAGUAAGGACGUUCAACUUAAGCUUGAUUCCGAAGCGAUUGAUUUGGCCACAGAACUUGAUGAGAUUCUGGUGGUGUGCAAACAGAAUUUGCAAGCAGCUCAGGAUAGAGUAGAGAAGUUUGCCAAUAAGCAUCGCCAAUUCUGGGAAUAUAAGGUCGAUGAUCUCGUCUUUGUGCGAGUGAUCUUUCCGUCAAGUGAGCGGCAGAACACCUUGGUGCCUUUACGGACAGGGAAGAGUGAUAAACUUUCUUAUUGAUAUGCUGGUCCAUAUAAAGUGUUGGAGCACAUUGGUAAAGCGGCUUAUCGGGUGUGGCUGCUAGCUAGGGUGAAAAUUCAUCUGGUAUUUUAUGUCAGCCAGUUGAAAGGUGUACUAUCUCGGAGUGACAGGCCUAAUGCCUCCUUGAUGUAUACGGCUGUGGAAGAUGGCCCAAGAGCUUGAGUAGGGUUCCCUAGAAAGGGUGAUCACCAGUCCUUGGGACAAGGACUUUGUUGGGGGGGAAUUGUUAGGUGCCAACUUUGACCACAUGGUCAACGUCGGUCAAAAGGAGGCUCAAGGAUAAAUUAAGGCAUGUUAGGGUGAAGAACCUCAAGAGGUGGCAUGCCAACUUUGACCACGUGGUCAACACCGGUUAAAGGGAGGCUCAAGGAUAUAUUAAGGCAUGUUAGGGUGAGGAACCUCAAGAGGUGGCAUAGCAUAGUCUAGGGUGACAUGAUCUCUGUCUUUUUGUACCGGAUCAUAACAUAAAUAGGAUUCCAUACAGGUAGAUGGUGGGUGGCCUAUUUUAUUUCAUAGGGAGUAUUCCUAGCAAAUCUUGACUUUCCAUAUCAAGGUGCUUGAAGGGAAUAACAAAUUAUGUUUUGUGUUACACAAGAUAAAAGCAAUUUCAACUCAAGCUACUAGGAUAACUCAAAUGUGGAUUGAGUAGGAGAAAUUGAUAAGCAACUUCUAGAUAUGUCUUCAGUUUGGGCAAUGCAAUAGUCAUAUGGGGUAGCCUAGGGAUGACACAAGUAACCAACGAGAUCCUUUGACUCAAAACUUUGCUCCACUACUUGAACUGCAAGCAGGGAGAGGCAAAUAUUCUUAAUUGUGACAAUCAAGGAACCAUUGUGUUGCCUACAAGUUCAUGGGUUCAUAGCAAGACAAAGUAUAUCUAGCAAAAAUGGUGGACAUAUUCAUGAAGCAAUGUUUGCACAACACACACAAGCUCUUGGGGUGCAGACAGCUUAGCUUAAGUGGGAAUAUUAAGGGAUUGUUCCAACUUCCCUCAAGACAAGUUGACUCUAGCACUAUCUCAAGAGCUCUGUGUGGGAGGGAUCUUGGAGAUAAGCUGCUCAUCCAUGGCUUUGAAAGAUGCCCUAUUGAGCUUGGGGAAAGUAUAACAAUGAGAUAAUUGUUGCAAUCUUUGUAAUGGCUUGUGAAUCAAAAGAUGCUAGAUUUUUUAUGAUCUUGCAUGACAGAUUAGUGUCCGAGACCUUAGAGAAGUCGAAACCUCUUGCAAUUUGGGCAAACACUCCAGAUUUCCUAAGACCCAUUUUGUAUAUCCAAGGUGAGCACUAUGUAGACCAGCAACAAAAGAAGCAGUGAACAUCUUCUUGAGAUAUUGUACUUACUAUAUUUAAGUAUUAAUGUAGCGCAUGUGAUCAUGGGAUGAGAUUUGGAUAUACUGUCACCGUGAAUCCUUGGAACCUUAGGGGAUAAAUAGGGAUAAAAUAGCCACUAAGGGCUCUCUUAUCAAGCAAUUGCCCCUUUUUCAGUUGGCUUAAGGGGAGAGAGAUAAAGUGCACUAUAGUUGGUAUCGGAGCAAAUGGCAUGGGUUUGAUUCCCAUUGAUUAGUGGCUACUUAAAAAUAUAAUAUACCCUUAAGUAAGGUAUAUUCCUACCCGUAAAUUUGAAAUCGUACGUAUUAGGCAUCCAUGCGUACAUCCUUCCUUUUGUGUGGAGUAUCUACGGACGAAAGUAUCCACUAUGGGACUGCGGUACGGGUGUGUUAGGCGCCACCUUUGACUACGUGGUCAACGUCGGUCAAAGGGAGGCUCAAGGGUAUAUUAAGGCAUGUUAGGGUAAGGGACUUAACCUACCCUAGGGCUCACAGUGGAGUGGCGGCGUAGUGGAGCUUUUGAGGUAGCUCGGGGGUGGUUGGUGGUGAGGAACCUCAAGAGGUGGCGUAGCAUAGUCUAGGGCAACUAGAUCUUUGUCUUUUUGCGCCGGAUCAUAACAUUGGUAUCAGAGGAUUGGUUGUGAUGGCCGACCAAGCUGAACGCUGGAAUCCUAUUGUCGAUGGUGGUGCCGACGAUGGUGCCGACGAAACUGCAGAGAUUUGGAGCAUUCAAGAUGUGGUUCAUGAGCUGCGAGCCCUUAAUCGAAAUCAGCAAGAGAUGCAAGACGAGAUGCAUGGCAUGAUGGAUACCAUGCGUGGGCGUGUUGAGGCACUCGAGGCUGGACGGGGUAGCACUCCAAGUAAGCCUUCUUUGGUAGAUCGACUCAAGAUUCCAACCUUUUUCGGUGAUGGUGGUGUGGACAAGUGUUUCGCUUGGCUAGCCAAUGUGAAGAAGUUCUUGGCUGCUAGAGGAACUCUAAAUGCAAAGGCUUUAGUGGCUAUUCCAAUGGUUUUGCGUGAUGCGGGUCUUCGAUGGUGGAAUUGGCUUGAGGAGUCCCGUGUUGCAAAUAAGAAACCACCAGUGUCUACCAUGGAUGAGUUUGAGGUUGCUUUUCAUUUACGUUUUCCCCCUCAUUACAACAUGGAGAAUGCUCGUAUAGAACUUUGACAUUUCCAGCAAGGGAAAAUGACACUCGGGGACUAUAUUGAGAAGCUUACUUGCUUGAUUAAUUGUGUUCCAACGAAGGAUCCAGAUCAGAAAAAGUCCUACUUCAUUGAUGGCCUAUAUAGUGAGAACAUGCGGUAACACUUGCAUCAUUUUCAGCCUACAAAGAGUUUGGAGGAGCUCUUUGAUGCGGCUCGUCGACUUGACAAUGACAAGCACAAGUCUCACAAGCGUUCGCGGAGUCCUUCUGUCGAGAAUCAUCGUAAUGAUCGCCGUGGACACAAGGAUAAAAUGCCGAUGCCACGUGUGGAUGAUAUCCUGGACAAGCUUGGUGAAGCACAAGUGUUUACCAAGAUUGAUCUGAGGAGUGGAUAUCAUCAGAUUGCAAUGGAUGAUGCAUCUAUCUCCAAGACAGCAUUCAACACAAGUUUCGGACAUUUUGAGUUUACAGUUAUGCCGUUUGGCUUGACGAAUGCACCAGCCACAUUUACUCUGUUGAUGACGGAGGUAUUUGGGUGUUAUCUUCAUGAGUUUGUGGAGAUUUUCUUGGACAAUAUUCUUGUUUUUAGCAAAAAUAUGGAGGAGCAUAGGGUGCAUUUGCGCAAGGUUCUUUUGUUACUUCGCGACAGCAAACUUUAUGCGAAGAAGAGCAAAUGUGAAUUUGCAAAGUCGAAGGUGGAAUAUCUAGGCCAUAUUGUGACAUCUAAGAGUGUCAAGACGGAUCCAAGGAAGAUGGCUGUGGUGGAAAACUGGCCUACACUGACUACAGUGGCUGAGUUGCGCAGUUUUCUUGGUAUGGCUAGUUACUACCGACGUUUCCAGCAUAAGUUUGCAGAGGUGGCUAUUCCUUUGACGCGGUUGUUACGCAAGAAUGUGCCAUUCGAGUGGAAGAAGCCACAAGACGAGAGUUUUGUGGCGCUGAAACGAUUGUUGAGCGAGACUCCAGUGCUUCGCAUUGCUGAUCCAUCGAAACCUUACGAGGUGACAUGCGAUGCGAGUGGUUAUGCACUGGGAGGAGUUCUCAUGCAAGAGGGACAGCCUAUUGCAUAUGAGAGUCGAACUUUGAAUUUCGCGGAGCAACGCUAUUCCACAUAUGAGCAAGAGUUACUCUCUAUUGUUCAUGUUUUGCGGACGUGGCUGCACUAUCUUUAUGGGGCAGUGUUCGUGGUGUUGACAGAUCACAAACCAGUUGUGUAUCUUUUCACACAGAAGGAGUUGAACACUAGGCAAGCUCGUUGGAUGGUCAAACUCAUGGAGUUUGGGGAGUUUCCUAUUGAGCAUCGUCCGGGAAAAUCAAAUGUGGUGGCGGAUGCUUUAUCUCGUGUUCGUCAUGUGACAACAUUAUGAACACGAUUUUAUCAUCAUUUGAGUAAGGUGGUCAGCGAGUUUGGGCAAUUGGUUGAGCAUGCUCAGGCUCAGGAUGCUGCGGUGGCCUCUUUGCGAGCCUAGAUGGAAGCCCCUUUCUCAUUGGUGGAUGGGAUUCUCUACUACAAUGGCCGUGCAUAUUUGCCACAGGUGGAUGCAUUAAUUACUCAAGUUUUAUUCCACUAUCAUGAUCGUCCAGAGGCCGGUCAUUUUGGGGGGAAGAAGACGUAUGAGUUGAUUAAACGCAACUUUUAUUGGAGGAAUAUAAAGGCUAAUAUCCUCAAGUAUUGUAAAUCAUGCGAGCUUUGUCAGUGGGUUAAGGUGCCACAGGAGAAGCCGGGGGGACUUUUGCAACCUUUACCUAUUCCUCAGAGCCAUUGGUGUAGUAUCUCUAUGGACUUCAUCACUUGUUUGCCACGAACACAGAGGCAAAAGGAGCAAGUAUGGGUAAUAGUGGAUCGGUUGACGAAGUAUGUGCGGUUGUUGGCUCUUCAGAAGACUGUCACUGCCUCAGACUUGGCUGCGGUUUACUUGGAGAAGGUUUUUCCUGAUUUUGGUUUGCCGGAAGACAUCAUUAGUGAUCGAGAUUCAAAGUUCACCAGUGAAUUUUGGAAAAGCUUUGCAAAGGCUAUGCAAGUGACUUUGAAACUCUCGAGUGGAGAUCAUCCUCAGACGGAUGGGCAAACUGAGCGUGUGAAUCAGGUGGUGGAGGAUAUGCUACAUUGUAGCAUUGGUCAAAGGCAAGGACAGUGGGAUCUAUAUCUUCCAUUAGUGCAAUUUUCUUACAACAAUAGCCAACACAGUGGAACCAAGCUAAAUCCUUACUUUGCCAUGUUUGGAAGGCAUCUUCGAACAACGGUGGAGUUGGGAUUGCAUUUGAGUAAGGACGUUCAACUUAAGCUUGAUUCCGAGGCAACUGAUCUGGCCACAGAACUUGAUGAGAUUCUGGUGGUGUGCAAACGGAAUUUACAAGUAGCUCAGGACAGAGCGGAGAAGUUUGCCAAUGAGCAUUGCCAAUUCCAGGAAUAUAAGGUGGGUGAUCUCGUUUUUGUGCGAGUGAUCUUUUCGUCAAGUGAGCGACAGAACACCUUGGUGCCUUUACGGACAGGGAAAAGUGAUAAACUCUCCCAUCGAUAUGCUGGUCCAUAUGAAGUGCUGGAGCGCAUUGGUAAAGCGGCUUAUCAGGUGUGGCUGCCAACUAGGGUGAAAAUUCAUCCGGUAUUUUAUGUCAGCCAGUUGAAAAGUGUACUAUCUCAUAGUGACGGGCAUAAUGCCUCCUUGAUGUAUACAGCUGUGGAAGAUGGACCAGGAGCUUGAGCAGGAUUCCCCAGAAAGGGUGAUCAGCGGUACAACUUGUCCUUGGGACAAGGACGUUGUUGGGGGGGAAGAAUUGUUAGGCGCCAGCUUUGACUACGUGGUCAACUUCGGUCAAAAGGAGGCUCAAGGGUAUAUUAAGGCAUGUUAGGGUAAGGGAUUUAACCUACCCUAGGGCUCACAGUGGAGCGGCGGUGCAGUGGAGCUUUUGAGGUAGCUCGGGGGUGGUUGGGUAGUGAGGAAUCUCAAGAGGUGGCAUAGGGCAACUAGAUCUUUGUCUUUUUGCGCCGGAUCAUAACAGGGUGGAUGAUUAAUUACUUCACAUGGAAUAAUUGGUUUACACAAUGGAAGGAUUGGUAAAUUCAGUGCGGAAAUGGAGGUGCUGGUUCCCCUUGGCUCAGUAGGGGUUGUAGUCAAUAGUCAAUAAGGACAAGUUUGGCAUCAUUCAUUCAUUCUCCAAAAAAGCUUAAUCUGAUCUAUCUUUGGAAAGGAUAAAAAUUAAAUGUUUCAAUUUUGAAACCAAUGCCAAGAUUCUGGAAUGCCUUAAGCACUACUAGGUUUUUAUUGACAAAAUAAAAAAAGGAAGAGACAUAACUAACAGCCAUGGUGAUAAAGCCUGUUGGAGAAGUAAUCUAUAAAUCCAAUAAUUUGAUCGCUCAACUAAUCAAACCUUUACUAACAUCAACCUCUAACAACCUCUACUGAGCUAGAAUUUACCAAUCCUUCCAUUAUGUAAACCAAUUAUUCUAUAUGAAACAAUUAAUUAUCCACCUGUGUUGCAUGUGGAUCAAUCUUUCAUCCAUAGAUGCUUUAUAAAAGGAAGAAUAUAGAUAUCCAAUACUUACAAUUUCAAAUUUAAGGGUAGGAAUAUAUAUUGCUCAAGGGUAUGUUAUAUUUUAAGUAGCAACUAAUGAAUGGGAAUCAAAUUUGUGUCAUUUGCUUCGAUACCACAAUCUCUCUCCCCUUAAACUAACUGAAAAAGAAACAAUUACUUGAUGAGAGAGUCUUUAAUGGUUAUUUUGUCCCCAUUUAUUCUCUAAGGUUCCAAGAAUUUAUAAUGACCAUAUAUUCAAAUAUCAUCCUAUAAUCAUAUGUAGUACAAUAUAUAUUUACUAUUUUAAAUCUUUGUGACACUCAAUUAAAUCUAGACACACACACACACACAGAUAUAUAUAUAUAUAUAUAUAUAUAUAUAUAUACGAGUUAUUACCCAACACCAUCACAAGCCAUCUCCACUCUUGAUGCAAACUUAUUUUGGAAUAAUAUCAAAACAAAAAAAAAUUGAAUUCCACUUUGAAAGAAGAAUUGAGGAAAUAAUUAUAAAGAUGUGCUUCCUCAAAGGAAAUUAUCAAAUUCGUUAAGGGAAUUAUCAGAUCCAAGUGACAUAGUAGUGAGUAUCCACAGCAAAAAGUUCAAUAUCAAUACCAGUCAACACUUUACAUGUGAUAUGUGUCAUAACACCUUUUCUCACCCUACCUCCCAUUGGCUGAGAGUGUAAGACGUGGUUAACAAAAUAACCCUUUGACAAUUACCCCCCAUUGGACGGCAGGAUGGCUGCCAUAGGCUGGAUCCAGUGGCCCAGAAAAUUUGGCAACUCUUUAUUUUUAUAAAUUUCCUAUAGAUUUGGCAUCAACUCAUAUAACAUUGACAGCUUGUUGCUUGGACGACAAUUAUUAGUUGGGAAAUGGUACAAUCCUCAAGGUGUCUUCAGAUACAAAAACGAAGAUCCUUUAUAUUUCCAAAGGCCUACCAGAUUCAGUCCGACUGCACUUGCGUCCUGUUUCUCCAGGAUGACAAGAACGGGAUAACUGGAGGUGAGUGCUGAUCCAUUUCCAGUCUCUCAUGUGAGCCUCCCACUACUGUCAUCAAGGGCCUGAAACAUACACGAAUUUUCUUGUCUGAUUAAAGUAUGAUUCCCAUGCCUUAGGGCGGGGUUCCAUGCUCCACCCUGGGGGGAAAAUUUCCAGGGGGGGGAAAUAAAACCCUGGGUUCCAUGCCCCCCCUGGUGACAUGGCACCAAAAAUGGGGGGGAAGGGGGGAACCCGGUGUCCCCUCCGUAAAUUUCUCCCAGAGCCUGGAACCCGGUAAAAUACACAAAUAAAAUAAUGCCAUGUGGCUAAAUUGCCACAUCAUCUAAAAAUUUGGCCUGCCCUAAUUUUGUGAGCAUGCGAGUUCUUGGAGGGUUUUGGGGGGGAUUUUUGCAGUGAUUUGAGAAGGAAGUUUGUAAAAAAUGGAGAAUUGCUCACCCUCACCUCAUCCAUGGUUGCAAUUUGGCUCUUAUUCUAGUUCAUCAAUAGCUCAAACUCAUGUAAGUAUGAAAUUUUGUAAUUCUAGAAUUUUGCUUAUUUUUCUUAAUGUCCAGGGAGGAGAGGGCUCUUCUUUUAGUGCUAGCAUGGGAUCUAUGCCAAAUGCAGCUAUGAUCCAGGUACUUUUCAUUUUCUCUUUGGUUUUUUUCUUUUGUUUAAUAAUGGUUUUUAGCCUGGCAUUCCUACAUUCAACCCGAUAAUUGGAUUUGUUCCAAGUAUCCCUACAAUGCAAGCUAACUUCAAUUCAUCGAGCCAGGUAUUUUUUUCCAAUUGUUUUCCUACUUUGUGUUGAAUGCAUUUUUGCAAUAGCAAGGAUUUCAUGGUGGGGGAAUUGGAAAUUCCUCUUUCACAACUUUAUUAUCACUACCUCCUCCAGGAACUAGCUCUUUUGAUGGAGCAACAAGUAUUCCAGAGGUACAAUAAAUAUUAUUUAUGUUUAUUUUUUGAUUUCACAACUUGUUUUCCCAGAAUGAACCAACUUUGAAUGAUGAACAAAAAGGAAAAUGGUCUACUGAUGAAAAUAUGGCUCUUCAAUAUGCAAAGAGGAUGGAAAAAGAGAAGGAUCGAGAAGGCGGUGGCCGUAGAAAAUCGAUGAAAGGACCAGAGAAGUGGCAACACAUUUCCGGCAUCUUACGUUCACAGGGAUUUCAUCACACACAAAUGCAAUGUGAGUCACAAUGGGAUGAGCUUGUGGAUGACCGGUAUAAGAACCCUAGCCUGCAUCAUGGUUAAAUUUGUCGGGGUCAAAAUCUUCCAUGAACCUAUCAUUCCGUGUGAUCAUUAAGUUAUGUAGCACACAAUAAGCCAUGAUGUUAUUUGCAAGGAUGCCUGGAUGACCUCCGAAUCCUUUUCGAGCUAGCAAUUUCCAUUGCCUCUUUAAAAUUCCAAAAGAUCACUUGACAACAAUCCUCGUAGAAGAAUGAAGGAAGUUGUACUGCUCUUUGCUAUGAAACCUGUUUGGAUAUGAGACCAACACCGGUAAAGCACAGUAAUAUCCUCCAUCUGCAAUGAUAUAUUGUGGAAUGUCCCCAAACUCUGUGUGGUAUACUGGACCACAUAAACGCUUCUUCUCAAUCCAAGCCUUCUUCAAACCACUAGAAUUCCAAACUCGUCUAUCUGGAACACUACCUGCUAUCCCUAUUGUUAUGUCAAGGAAUGAAGUCUUACUGUCUACCACGGCUUGAACUACCAUCGAGUAGUACUUUUUUGCCCCAGCAUACCAAUCCGUUGCAUCCUCUGAUCCUGGGAGCUCGAUUGCAAUGUGAGUGCAAUCCAUUGCACCACAACAAUUUGGAAAUCCACGCAAUCUCUGAAAUCCAGUUAUAACUUCUUUCAUUCCCUCCUCAUCCGGCCAAUGGAUCAUUAGUCCUUCAUGCUCAAGCAAUGCAUACCUGAAACGGCAUAGACAAGCUUGGGCAAUGCAUGAAGCCACUCCAAAUGCAUCACCAAUUGUUCGCCACAUAUCCCCGGAUGCCAAACGUUUCAAAGCAAUAGCUACUUGCUUUGAAAUAGGCAAGUGCCGCCUUGGUAUUUCUGCCAAACCUGGAGGAGGCCUCCUAACCAAUUUUGGAGCAAGCUCAUCACAAAGAAAAGUGAAUAUAGAUACCGAAACCCGAAAAACUUCUCUGAAUCUUUGUGGAUCUAUAUGAAGAACCUCAAGUUCUGUUUGAUACCACCAGUGUAGACUUCUCGGCUUGAUGUAGUACACACUGAUUGAUAGCCCUAGGAGCUCCUUUUUAGUGAUCACUCUCUCAACAAAUGAAGAUGUAGCAGGACAUGGCAUAGAAAGAACUAUAGCAAUCGCUUCCUCCACCAUUCGAAUGAACAAGAGUUUUCUUAAAACCAGAACUAAAAUCAUAUCUUCCUCCUCCAGAAAGAACAACUCUACCAAAUUUAAGUACCUCAUCACAAUCCCUACAGCAUGGGAAAUGAUCGCCAAGGAAAAAUCAGUGAGCCGUGGCAUGGUGUGUGCUCAAUUUAGGGUAAACAAAAUUGGCACCCUAAUCCUUUAUGACGUGGCAAAAAAAACGCUGAUGUGUAAACUUACGUGGCAUAUAAAGAAGAGGGUUACAUGUAACCAUUAAAAAAAUGGGGAGGGGAGUUUUUUUUGGAGGGGGGGAGAAAUUUCCAGGUGGGUGGAGCAUGGAACCCUGCCCUUAGGACUUAGAAUUAUUCAAAAAGAAAAGUCCACGGUAGACUUUUCCCACGCUAUACCUUUUACAAGAAUGGUGCGGCGCUGGUAACGGGCAUGGCAGCAGCGACUUUGCUCAAGGCGAUUCGAAUUGCGGACAAGGUUGGCACAAUAUCCACUUCCAGCAAGGUCUGUAGAAACCAACGUAGGAUCCUCAUUGCGGCGGUCGGCUAUGUCCGAGACUACCUCAAGCAAAUCCAGGAUCUCAACUUCGCGAGCAACGGGCCAGCCUUCGUGUGGGACGAAACCGUGGCUGUCCUUAACAGAGGCCUCCAUCUCCUCAAGUCGUGCCAAGAAGGCAAUUGGAUCGCGCGGAGCCUGCUGUUCAAGGAAAGCUGCGAUGAGUUCCAGAGCAUUUAUCCCGAGAUCUACA
rnacentral:lncRNA from 1 species